ACAAGCUUUUUCUUUAUCUUCAGCAACAACUUUUUGGUUUUGAAAAGAAGCCAAAGCUCUGCCAUAGUGUAUCUAUGGAGGGGGUCAUCCUUCUUCCGGGGUUCACGCUUCUCCGACAAGAUGACGCACUUUUCCAAUCUGCCGAUAGCGUUGUACAGACAACCCUUCGUCCCAAUCGGUGUUGAUGGCGUGAAGCGCUUAUCUUGCAAC
rnacentral:lncRNA from 1 species